UACGGAGGGGUUAGCGUUGUUCGGAAUGACUGGGCGUAAAGCGCGCGUAGGCGGAUCAGGAAGUUGGGGGUGAAAUCCCGGGGCUCAACCCCGGAAUGGCCUUCAAAACUCCUGGUCUUGAGUUCGAGAGAGGUGAGUGGAAUUCCGAGUGUAGAGGUGAAAUUCGUAGAUAUUCGGAGGAACACCAGUGGCGAAGGCGGCUCACUGGCUCGACACUGACGCUGAGGUGACGAAAGCGUGGGGAGCAAACAGG
rnacentral:rRNA from 1 species